UACGGAGGGGGCGAGCGUUAUUCGGAAUUAUUGGGCGUAAAGGGCGCGUAGGCGGCUUGGUAAGUCAAAGGUGAAAUCCCUCGGCUCAACUGAGGAACUGCCUUUGAAACUGCCUGGCUUGAGGCCGGGAGGGGGUAGCGGAAUUCCCAAUGUAGCGGUGAAAUGCGUAGAUAUUGGGAGGAACACCGGUGGCGAAGGCGGCUACCUGGACCGGUUCUGACGCUGAUGCGCGAAAGCGUGGGGAGCAAACAGG
rnacentral:rRNA from 1 species